GGGGAUUUAGCUCAGUGGUAGAGCACUUGCCUAGCAAGCACAAGACCUUGGGUUCAAUCCUCA
rnacentral:tRNA from 1 species